UGGGGAAAGUUUCGGUUUUUCAUUCUUUCUUGUCACGGCGGCGCAUCUAGCUAGAGACUGGAUCUAGACCGGAGACGAGCAGGGCGCAAGGCCGGCGGCGCAUCCGGACGUGAUCAGGCUAGCCGCUCCAACUCGUCGCCUCUCCCUAGUUCACUGCUGCUCUUCGUCAGGUCGCCCGCUGAGCGGCCCCUCCGUCUCUCUGCCUUGAUGUCUGGUCGUCCGCCGCCCGCAGCUACCUAUCUCCGCCAGCAUGCAUGGCUGCAGGCUCCGCAAGUGCGGCCCUCGUGGCCGGCGAUUGGUGGCCGGCCUACCCCUGCAAGCUGUGCUUGCCUGUCUCCUACAUCGAGCAGAUGAGCUGCAGAGAGAAGACAUGGCUAACGCCUGACGAUCAGAUUGUUGUUGGAAAUAGCAAAUUUGCAGUCACUAUGUCAGAGCUACUGAAUACUUGUAAUUUUUCAUCGUAGAUUCUAUUGUUGGCUUGGACAUGUUGCUUGCUUCUGCACAAAUUUAAAUUAUAUUUAUGCUCUAUAUCUUGAGCUUGCAGUGCUA